AGGCUGGGAGAUGCCGCUGGCUGGCGUGGUAGCAACAACCUUUGCCAGGCUGCCUCGCCCACUUGCCUGGGUCCUUUGCUGCUGUGAUUGCCGUUAAUGUUCGUUCGGGAAAAGCCUGGGAACACUUGGGUGGAUUGUCUCCAUGGUGCAGGUGACAGAGUGGCUUGCUCAAGAGCACAGCAUUUUGGAGAGCCAGCCUAUAUUUGAGAAGUGAAAAAGAACAUUCGAACCCUCGACUCACAUGAUUCUGUAGCAUUUUCUGAGUCAAGAGAGAACUGAGGGCUGGAGAGAUGGCUCAGCGGUUAGGAGCACUGACUGCUCUUCCAGAGGUCCUGAGUUCAAUUCCCCGAAACCACUUGGUGGCUCACAACCAUCUGUAAUGGGAUCUGAUGCCCUCUUCUGGUGUGUCUGAAGACAGCGACAGUGUACUCAUAUAAAUAAAAUAAAUAAAUAUAAAUAAAAA
rnacentral:lncRNA from 1 species